rnacentral:lncRNA from 1 species
AAACAUAAAAUAAAAAAAAUGGUAGAAAUGGGAGAGGUGGGAGAGGUGGGAGUGGAUUCCUACUCCCACCUCCCCCAAUGGGAGUCUAACUCCCACUCCCCACUCCAAAAAUAGGUGGAGCCCACGGAGUGAGACUCCCAAUCUCUCCCCAUUUUAAGUAAGUAAACGCUGGAGUGAGAGAAAUCCACACUCCUCACUCCCACUCCACCAAAUAAACACAACAUAAGAAGCAUCGAUCACCAUCACCUUUAUUAAAAUUGCAUGUUAAGAAGUCGUUUGAUUCAAAAUCCUGACAUAAUCUUUUGCAUUUAAAUAUAGCAUAUUGGUAAUUAAAGCCCCUUUCCACAACUCUAACCGUGUGCGUAAGAUUCUAACUUUAAUUCUCUUUUGUCAACCGUAGGAUUUUAUCAACCCGACCAUCAUUUUAACAUACAUUCCUAUUUGUUUAAUCUCUUGCAAAUACAAUUGGUGAACAGCUCAUCAUCGCCUGGUCUCAUUCUCCAUUAAUUGUAGGAGUCCAUUUUUUUUUCCUGCUUGAUGAGCGAAUUUUUUAAGCGAACUUCUGAAGUAACUAUUUGUAAAACAAUUUCCGCAAUAUAAUAAAGUAAAAAUUUAAACUAACAAGUAACAUUUAAAUGUUGUAACUGAUCGCUUACUCUUUGCCGCUCAAGUCAAUUUAACUCCGUUGCUAAAAAAUUAAUGCUAAAAAAUUUGAGUGAAAAAUCUCUACGAAAAGAUAGGUAUGUAAAAUCUAAGAGUGAUGAUAUAACUACAAACUCUUGUACAAAUUUAUCUUACACAAAUUGAUGUGGCAUUAAUUCAUUGAUUGAAUGAAAAUAUAAAAAAAUAAAAAUAAAUCAUGUGGGCCAAGAGAUAUUUAAUUCAAUUAAUGAAUUAAUAUUAUGUCAAUUUGUGCAAAAUAAGUUUGUACAAGAGUUUGUGACUAUAUCAUUGCCCAAAAUCUAAACGACUUUUUAUUUGAAAUUAAAAUUUAAGUCUAUGUAACUUUUAAUGGGCUCAACUUUCUCCCUCAAUCAAGAAUAAUUGAGUAGAGGUCAUU